CGCCCCACCGAGAGGAGCGCUGCGCUGGCCGCCUAGAGACCACCUCCAGGUGUGGCUACAAAGCCAACUCGCAGGGGACUGCUUUCAGCGUGCCGACCGAAGUCACUCACCACCAGUUUGUAAACUGAACAGAAGAACUGCUUCACUUUAAGCAAUGAAGAACUUCAAGUUGGGCGUAUUAACCCAGACGCCGGACCCGCUCCUUGGGACCCUCCCGCUGAACCCAACCCUGCCUCAGGUCUGACAGGGGGCACUAACCUUCGUCGAGGGCUCUGUUGACCGCGGCGCACAGGGCCCAGUACCCGCUGUACGUUUUCCCCCUGUACCCCACCAGACAUUUGUGCUCCUCAUGCUCCGACCAGAAGGAGAAGUUGAGCGUGUCUGUCACGAACACCCAGUUGACCGCGGCCUCGUCAGCCGCCCUGGGAUUCAGCUCGUGAAGGGCCUUCCAGCCCCCCAGGCGCAGCUCGGGCCCCGAGGCCUUGGCGAGCAGCAGCUUGGCCACCCUCCGCACGCCUCCGCCGUCGAUGAACACAUCCCGACUGUUCUCUGCAAUGAAUUUUGCAGACUCCCUGGGAGGAAGGGGCCCGUCCAUUCCGCCCCUCCCUUUGGGACUGGGGAACGUCGCUUUCACCCGCCCGCUGGCCAAACUCGCUUCCCUCUCUGAGCGGGGGAAGGGCGCGGGUCCCUCUGCAGCUCUCCUUUCCUACCCACCUUGGGAUCGCUGCCCUAACGGGGUACCGCCCUCGCCCAGCCGCACUGAAACCGGACAGGGCGGCCGUGUUCUGGGGCCCCUCCCUCCACCGCACUCCCAGGCUGAACAGCGGAGGCCACGGGGCCGCGCCCCCGGCCGGGACCGGAGGCACUUCCGGGAAGGCUGCCCCGCCCACUCUCGCCCAGGCGCGCGUCUGGGACCCGUUUCCGGUUCCGAAGACCCGGAAACUGCCCGGAGGGGUCCGGCGGGAGCUGGCAGGCAGUUUUCCUCCCUCCUGCCCUGGCGUACUGCUCCGCCAUUUUGUGCACGUUUGCACCCUCUCUUCGGGCACGUGGUACUGCGGCUUGGCGCGGUGGCCUGAGUCGCGAUGACUGCGAGCGGCGCGCCCCGUUGCCUUCGGCUCCGGCCCCUCGCCACUCCGGAGACUUAAAUCUCCAUGGAUAAUAUGAAAUGUUCACACCUUGAAACUCAACUAUUAAAAAUAAUCAACAGUAGUCAUCUCUAGUUAUUGACAGUAAGGAAUAUUGGAAUUGGAAAAUUUGGGGAGGAUUUGGAAUUUUUAAGUUUGACAACUGUGCCCCCAGAGAAGCAGAACAUUAUCCCUCCAGUUUCUUCACUUUGCUCUACGCACAGGCAUAGGCUUUUGAAGACAUCAAGAUGACCUCUAAAUACUCCCUAAGCUUGCAUUUUCAAGGUUAACAGAGGGAGGAGCCUUGAUCAACGAUGUUCUGUCCCCAUCACCUUUCCCUCUACUCCUAAACAGUAUCCAAGCUAAACUGUUCUAGUCAUCAAGAAGGCCAUCAUUCUGAAUAGCUACAUUAAAUGUCAAGCUUUGGCAACAAUCACUGCUACAUCUUCUGUUUUCUGUCAUGAUAAGGUAUGGCAGAAACUUACAGCAAUAGUGAGUUAAUGGGGCACUUGGUUGGCUCAAUUGGUUAAGUAUCAGGCUUAGGUUGUGUUGUCAGGGUUCUUGAGAUCAAACCCCAUGAUAGGCUCUCUCUGAGCUGGAAUCAGAGAGCUUGUUUGGGAUUCUCUCUCUUCCUCUCUCUACUCCUCCCCUUUGCUCCUCCCCAGCUCAUUCUCUCAUUCUCUCUCUCUCUCUCUCUCUCUCCCUCCUUCCCUCUCUCUCUCUCAAAAUAAAUAAAUGAGCAUGAAAAAAAGAAAAGAAAAGAAAACAGCGGGUUAAGAGGUACUCUGGAGGAAAAGUUGCAAAAGUUGGCUAGAGCACCGUAUAGACAGUAGACAUUGCUAGAGAGGAGGCUGUAGUUUUUCAUACAUACAGAAGGAGGAAUGUAAAAUGGAUUUUUGAAGAUAGGACAUCUGUAUUAUUUUCAUUUCCCCUGACUCUAUUGAAAUGAUCAAUAGACUAAAGCCCCAAGAAAGGUUAACAGAAAAGAGAUGGUUCACUACUGUGUAAGUUUCCUCUGUUUCUUUUCUUUUUGAUUAAUCCAUUUAUAGCAUUUAAAAUUGACCACUUCCAGGGCACCUGGGUGGCU